rnacentral:rRNA from 1 species
GGCUCAACCAANGUAUGCUUUGGAAACUGUUAGACUUGAGUGCAGAAGGGGAGAGUGGAAUUCCAUGNGUAGCGGUGAAAUGCGUAGAUAUAUGGAGGAACNCCGGUGGCGAAAGCGGCUCUCUGGUCUGUCACUGACGCUGAGGCUCGAAAGCGUGGGUAGCGANCAGGAUUAGAUACCCUGGUAGUCCACGCCGUAAACGCUGAGUGCUAGGUGUUAGNUCCUUUCCGGGACUUAGUGCCGACGCUAACGCAUUAAGCACUCCGCCUGGGGAGUACGACCGCAAGGUUGAAACUCAAAGGAAUUGACGGGGGCCCGCACAAGCGGUGGAGCAUGUGGUUUAAUUCGAAGCAACGCGAAGAACCUUACCAGGUCUUGACAUCCCGAUGCCCGCUCUAGAGAUAGAGUUUUACUUUUUGUACAUCGGAGACAGGUGGUGCAUGGUNGUCGUCAGCUCGUGUCGUGAGAUGUUGGGUUAANNNNNNNNACGAGCGCAACCCUUAUUGUUAGUUGCCAUCAUUAAGUUGGGCACUCUAGCGGGACUGCCGGUAAUAAACCGGAGGAAGGUGGGGAUGACGUCAAAUCAUCAUGCCCCUUAUGACCUGGGCUACACACGUGCUACAAUGGUUGGUACAACGAGUCGCAAGCCGGUGACGGCAAGCUAAUCUCUGAAAGCCAAUCUCAGUUCGGAUUGUAGGCUGCAACUCGCCUACAUGAAGUCGGAAUCGCUAGUAAUCGCGGAUCAGCACGCCGCGGUGAAUACGUUCCCGGGCCUUGU